rnacentral:rRNA from 1 species
GACGGAGGAUGCAAGUGUUAUCCGGAAUCACUGGGCGUAAAGCGUCUGUAGGUGGUUUAAUAAGUCAACUGUUAAAUCUUGAGGCUCAACUUCAAAAUCGCAGUCGAAACUAUUAGACUAGAGUAUAGUAGGGGUAAGGGGAAUUUCCAGUGGAGCGGUGAAAUGCGUAGAGAUUGGAAAGAACACCAAUGCGAAGACACUUACUGGCUAGCACUGACACUGAGAGACGAAAGCUAGGGGUAGCAAAUGGG